AAAUAUGUCUCUCAUCUUCAGCAUGGCAACAGAUCCAGCAACUGCCUCUGGAAGUACUGUCACAUUUCAUGUUAGGCUUGUGCUGAAGGCAUUCUGAAUUUAGGACUGUGUUGCAGUAAGACUCCUGCAAACAUGGAGUCUUCAGAAAACUGGGAUUGGAAGAUUUGGAAGUGAUUAUUCCAAAAUUUGUGAGAAAAUAGAAAAUUUUCCACUAUCUGCCAAGAACUUCUUGUUAGUCUUAUGAAAGAAAGGUAUGGAGUGAUAUCAAGGGCACGUGUCUGUGUAUCUGGAGAACGUGAGCCAGCAUGACAGCAAAGCUUCCGUGUAGCACAAGGGAACGCUGAAGACACCCAAGAUGCAGGGGAGGACAAUCUUGGAACACAACUAUAUCUUAAGGCACUAAAUUUUCCACAGACAAGAGCAUUAGUAAUUUUAACUUUGAUUGAGAACUGCUAUUAUCCACUCACAGCAUGUGGGAGCAAACAGGCACUUGGAUAAAUCACAAAAAAGAAAACCACUUAGCAUGCUGCUUCCCUCAACAACACCUUUUUGUGAAGGUGCAAGGCUGAGUGCUGCAGUGAGAGCGUGUGCGAAGACAGAAGCAAGGCUGCAGCAGCUCCCUGAAGCAUGCUCAAGGUCAGCCCCUCUCAAAGAAGACCAGAAGGUCACAUUUGACUUAAAAGAAAUCAUGAAGAUGAGUUUCAUGAGUGACACAACUGGAGCCAUUAGCAAACUCAUCCAAGAGUAAUCAUCCAUUAAAGGUGAAAGCCUGCAUCUUCACAGUGAAAAGAAGCAUGAGAAGCAGCACAAGCAUUCCUGUUUGACACCUCUGCAGAGAGACACAAAUAACUUCUGAACUGCCUCACUCUCCUCCUGCAGGCUCGCAGCCCUGGGGUGUGUUUGUCACCCUUCAACAGAUGAAGAAGACAGUGACUCCACCAGCUUGAGUAUGCAGGACAUCAUCUCCUCUACAACCAGUGCUGCUCCAGCAGAUCACUGGGUGAGAAGUAAACCAAACUGGUUUGAAACAUGGAGCACUUCACACAUGGUCGUUGAGAAGAGCACAGUUUGCUGGACUGGUCUCCACACAACUUCAACACUCUUUUGGAAUGGCAUUUCCUACGAAGCAUGCCAACUGUGUCAGCAUGACAAAAGACAGCUAGUAGUAAGGGCUGCUCCUUUGACAUUGUUGGGAUGGCCUCCAGAAUAAACUUUCGGCUCCUACUGGCUCUUACUAGAUGUAUCUUUGACACCAAGGCCUCUGCAAAGUAACAAAAUCAGAGGAUGUUUGGAACUUUAUCUGUGCUGUGAAGAAUCCAGCAAUAAAUUAUUCCAAAACAAAGGUCCAAUAGAGUUAAUAGAGCAUAUAAAACUGUCUACCAUGUUUCAUUGUGUUUAAUUUGCUGCAACAACCUGGAGAUGUCCAGGUUUCAGCCUCCCUUUUGCAACCAUCGGGUGCUCUGAGAAAUGCUGUGCCAGCUGAGGAGUCUCUGUCACCAGCAUCUCUGCAUCAUGGGGCAGUGAGAUACUUCCAGAGCAUUUGUCUGCUUCUCAUUUUCCAUGAUGGUCCCAAGUGAAGCAGUGCCCUCACCACUAUAGGGAGAGCCACAAGGACCUGUGGCCCAGUCAUCCCUACAAAGAAUGGGCAUGCAAGAGGGAAGACCCAGCUUUUGGCCACCCACAGAUACAACCUCUUCUAGGAUGUGAGCCUGAGGGUUGCUCAGGCUGCACAGAAGUUUGGUGCAUCUAGCCAGGAAUUUACUCAGAGUUAUCUCCCUGUUGUGUUUUGUGGUUUGUUUUUUGAUAUUUUUGCAUAUUUUGAGGAA